rnacentral:rRNA from 1 species
AUACGGAGGAUGCGAGCGUUAUCCGGAUUUAUUGGGUUUAAAGGGUGCGUAGGCGGAAAGUUAAGUCAGCGGUGAAACGCAGGUGCUCAACACCUGACCUGCCGUUGAGACUGGUUUUCUAGAAUGCGGAUGCUGUGGGAGGAAUGUGUGGUGUAGCGGUGAAAUGCAUAGAUAUCACACAGAACACCGAUUGCGAAGGCAUCUCACAAAUCCGCGAUUGACGCUGAGGCACGAAGGUGCGGGGAUCGAACAGGAUUAGAUACCCUGGUAGUCCGCACAGUAAACGAUGAUAACUCGCUGUCGGCGAUAGACAGUCGGUGGCCAAGCGAAAGCGAUAAGUUAUCCACCUGGGGAGUACGACCGCAAGGUUGAAACUCAAAGGAAUUGACGGGG